AUUGAACGCUGGCGGCAGGCCUAACACAUGCAAGUCGAGCGGAUGAAGGGAGCUUGCUCCUGGAUUCAGCGGCGGACGGGUGAGUAAUGCCUAGGAAUCUGCCUGGUAGUGGGGGAUAACGUCCGGAAACGGGCGCUAAUACCGCAUACGUCCUGAGGGAGAAAGUGGGGGAUCUUCGGACCUCACGCUAUCAGAUGAGCCUAGGUCGGAUUAGCUAGUUGGUGGGGUAAAGGCCUACCAAGGCGACGAUCCGUAACUGGUCUGAGAGGAUGAUCAGUCACACUGGAACUGAGACACGGUCCAGACUCCUACGGGAGGCAGCAGUGGGGAAUAUUGGACAAUGAGCGAAAGCCUGAUCCAGCCAUGCCGCGUGUGUGAAGAAGGUCUUCGGAUUGUAAAGCACUUUAAGUUGGGAGGAAGGGCAGUAAGUUAAUACCUUGCUGUUUUGACGUUACCAACAGAAUAAGCACCGGCUGACUUCGUG
rnacentral:rRNA from 1 species